CACGUAGGCGGGUCUUUAAGUCGGGGGUGAAAUCCUGGAGCUCAACUCCAGAACUGCCUUCGAUACUGAGGAUCUCGAGUCCGGGAAAGGUGAGUGGAACUCCGAGUGUAGAGGUGAAAUUCGUAGAUAUUCGGAAGAACACCAGUGGCGAAGGCGGCUCACUGGCCCGGUACUGACGCUGAGGUGCGAAAGCGUGGGGAGCAAACA
rnacentral:rRNA from 1 species